rnacentral:rRNA from 1 species
CCUACGGGGGGCAGCAGUGAGGAAUAUUGGUCAAUGGUCGGGAGACUGAACCAGCCAAGCCGCGUGAGGGAUGAAGGUACAGAGUAUCGUAAACCUCUUUUGUCAGGGACGAAGCAAGUGACGGUACCUGAGGAAUAAGCCACGGCUAACUACGUGCCAGCAGCCGCGGUAAUACGUAGGUGGCAAGCGUUAUCCGGAUUUACUGGGUGUAAAGGGCGUGUAGGCGGGAAAGCAAGUCAGAUGUGAAAACCAUGGGCUCAACCUGUGGCCUGCAUUUGAAACUGUUUUUCUUGAGUACUGGAGAGGCAGACGGAAUUCCUAGUGUAGCGGUGAAAUGCGUAGAUAUUAGGAGGAACACCAGUGGCGAAGGCGGUCUGCUGGACAGCAACUGACGCUGAGGCGCGAAAGCGUGGGGAGCAAACAGGAUUAGAUACCCCAGUAGUC